rnacentral:rRNA from 1 species
GGCUUAAAGUUUGAUCAUGGCUCAGGAUGAACGCUGGCGGCGUGCCUAAUACAUGCAAGUCGAGCGAAGCGCUUGCCUUUGAUCCUUCGGGUGAAGAGGCUUGUGACUGAGCGGCGGACGGGUGAGUAACACGUAGGGAACCUGCCUCACACAGGGGGAUAACAGUUAGAAAUGACUGCUAAUACCGCAUAAGCGCACAGGACCGCAUGGUCUGGUGUGAAAAGCUCCGGCGGUGUGAGAUGGACCUGCGUCUGAUUAGCCAGUUGGCGGGGUAACGGCCCACCAAAGCGACGAUCAGUAGCCGGCCUGAGAGGGUGGACGCCACAUUGGGACUGAGACACGGCCCAGACUCCUACGGGAGGCAGCAGUAGGGAAUAUUGCACAAUGGGGGAAACCCUGAUGCAGCGACGCCGCGUGAGCGAAGAAGUAUCUCGGUAUGUAAAGCUCUAUCAGCAGGGAAGAAGAUGACGGUACCUGACUAAGAAGCACCGGCUAAAUACGUGCCAGCAGCCGCGGUAAUACGUAUGGUGCAAGCGUUAUCCGGAUUUACUGGGUGUAAAGGGAGCGUAGACGGAAGAGCAAGUCUGGAGUGAAAGCCCGGGGCUCAACCCCGGGACUGCUUUGGAAACUGUUUAUCUAGAGUGCCGGAGAGGCAAGCG